UACGUAGGUGGCAAGCGUUGUCCGGAUUUACUGGGCGUAAAGAGCGCGCAGGCGGUCGUUCAAGUCGCGUGUGAAAGCCCCCGGCUCAACUGGGGAGGGUCACGCGAUACUGAUCGACUCGAAGGCAGGAGAGGGUAGUGGAAUUCCCGGUGUAGUGGUGAAAUGCGUAGAUAUCGGGAGGAACACCAGUGGCGAAGGCGGCUCACUGGAUCUCUUCUGACGCUGAGGCACGAAAGCUAGGGUAGCGAA
rnacentral:rRNA from 1 species